rnacentral:lncRNA from 1 species
CACAAUGCAAAAAUUAAACUAAAGAUUACAUCAGAAAUUGUUCAAACCAACAUCAAAUCAAAUCAACAUGUUAACAAAGGCAUCUCCUUCAAUUGAUCCCAAGUUCUUGGGCACCUUAGCUUCCAAAAUUGUAGCAUUGGAUUUGAAGAUGUUCAUUCCAUACACAAAUCCAUUGAAGGCAAGAACUCUUGCAAGAUACACUCCAGCAGAAGCUUGCUCUUCAGACACACUGAUUUGUCUCUCAGCAUUCAUCUCUGUAAUCUUCUUGACUUCAGCCAAAUUCUUCUCCAAUCCGUCAUCAAUAUGCUUCUUCAACUCCGUAAAUUUCUUGUCACAAGAACGCCGCAUGCCGCAAAUCUAAGAAUUUGAUGAUGCAAGUUUGACUUCAAUUAACCAUAAACAAAAGUACACACGAUUAUUCAAUUCAAAAGAUUAAACAAAAUUAAGAUUACACAAGAGAUUAUUCAAAACCAUCAAAGCCAACAUCAAAGCAACAUCUUCUUCUCUUUAGUAUAAGAGAUUAAAAAAGCCAUCCCCUUCAAGCGAUCCCUCCUUCUUGGGCAAUAGCCGGUCUAUGGCAUAAGCGAUCGCUAU